UCCGGCUUAUCACCGGCAGUCCCCUUAGAGUGCCCAACUAAAUGUUAGCAACAGAGGACGAGGGUUGCGCUCGUUGCGGGACUUAACCCAACAUCUCACGACACGAGCUGACGACAGCCAUGCAGCACCUGUGCACCUCCCACCCGAAGUGAAGAACUCUCUUUCAAGAGUUCAUAGAGGGCAUGUCAAAUCCUGGUAAGGUUCUUCGCGUUGCCUCGAAUUAAACCACAUGUUCCACCGCUUGUGCGGGUCCCCGUCAAUUUCUUUGAGUUUUAAUCUUGCGACCGUACUCCCCAGGCGGGAUGCUUAACGCGUUAGCUACGCCACUGAGGGGAGACCCCCCAACGGCUAGCAUCCAUCGUUUACAGCGCGGACUAC
rnacentral:misc_RNA from 1 species